rnacentral:rRNA from 1 species
CCUACGGGAGGCAGCAGUGGGGAAUAUUGGACAAUGGGGGCAACCCUGAUCCAGCCAUGCCGCGUGUGUGAAGAAGGCCCUCGGGUUGUAAAGCACUUUCAGUGAGGAAGAACGCCUGGUGGUUAAUACCCAUCAGGAAAGACAUCACUCACAGAAGAAGCACCGGCUAACUCCGUGCCAGCAGCCGCGGUAAUACGGAGGGUGCGAGCGUUAAUCGGAAUUACUGGGCGUAAAGCGCGCGUAGGUGGCUUGAUAAGCCGGUUGUGAAAGCCCCGGGCUCAACCUGGGAACGGCAUCCGGAACUGUCAAGCUAGAGUGCAGGAGAGGAAGGUAGAAUUCCCGGUGUAGCGGUGAAAUGCGUAGAGAUCGGGAGGAAUACCAGUGGCGAAGGCGGCAUUCUGGACUGACACUGACACUGAGGUGCGAAAGCGUGGGUAGCAAACAGGAUUAGAUACCCCAGUAGUC